rnacentral:rRNA from 1 species
AGAGUUUGAUCAUGGCUCAGGAUUAACGCUAGCGGGAGGCCUAACACAUGCAAGUCGAGGGGUAACAGGUGUAGCAAUACAUGCUGACGACCGGCGCACGGGUGAGUAACGCGUAUGUAACCUGCCCUAUACUGGGGGAUAGCUCGGAGAAAUUCGGAUUAAUACCCCAUAAUACAUAGAUAUCGCAUGUUAUUUAUGUUAAAGCUUCGGUGGUAUAGGAUGGGCAUGCGUCCCAUUAGCUAGUUGGAGAGGUAACGGCUCACCAAGGCAACGAUGGGUAUGGGGUCUAAAAGGAUGGUCCCACACACUGGUACUGAGACACGGACCAGACUCCUACGGGAGGCAGCAGUGAGGAAUAUUGGUCAAUGGGCGGAAGCCUGAACCAGCCAUCCCGCGUGCAGGAAGACGGCCCUAGAGGUUGUAAACUGCUUUUCUACAGGAAUAAUAAGGACUACGAGUAGUUCGAUGCCAGUACUGUAGGAAUAAGCAUCGGCUAACUCCGUGCCAGCAGCCGCGGUAAU